rnacentral:rRNA from 1 species
CCCUUAGAUGUUCUGGGCUGCACGCGCGCUACACUGAUGCACUCAACGAGUUUACGACCUUGCCCGAUAGGGUUGGGUAAUCUUUUUAAAAUGCAUCGUGAUGGGGAUAGAUUAUUGCAAUUAUUAAUCUUCAACGAGGAAUUCCUAGUAAGCGCGAGUCAUCAGCUCGUGCUGAUUACGUCCCUGCCCUUUGUACACACCGCCCGUCGCUCCUACCGAUUGAGUGCUCAGGUGAAUAAUUUGGACUGCAGCAAUGUUUGGAUCCCGAACGUUGCAGCGGAAAGUUUAGUGAACCUUAUCACUUAGAGGAAGGAGAAGUCGUAACA